rnacentral:tRNA from 1 species
GCUUAGGUAUUUUAAUUAAAAUGUUGAUUUGUGGAAUCAUUGAUAUGAAUUUUUCAUUGUAGGUC